UACCUAGCGGCGGACGGGUGAGUAAAGCAUGGGCAACCUGCCCUUGAGACGGGGAUAGCCUGCCGAAAGGCGGAGUAAUCCGCGAUGUGUUCGCCCUGCGCAUGCAGGGACGACCAAAGGUGGGGAUCCGAAAGGACCUACCGCUCAAGGAUGGGCCCAUGUCCCAUCAGCUUGUUGGUGAGGUAACGGCUCACCAAGGCUUACGGGUAGCUGGUCUGAGAGGAUGGUCAGACACACUGGGACUGAGACACUGACCAGACUCCUACGGGAGGCUGCAGUCGAGGAUCUUGGACAAUGUGCGAAAGCGUGAUCCAGCGACGUCGCGUGCAGGAUGACGGCCUUCGGGUUGUAAACUGCUGUCGUGAGGGAGAAAUGGCGCGGGCGCUAACAUCGUUCGCGCGUGAUAGUACCUCAGGAGGAAGACACGGCUAACUCUGUGCCAGCAGCCGCGGUAAUACAGAGGUGUCGAGCGUUGUUCGGAUUUACUGGGCGUAAAGGGUGCGUAGGCGGUUCCGUGUGUCGGAUGUGAAAUCCUGCCGCUCAACGGCAGAACGGCAUCCGAAACUACGGUGCUUGAGUUCGGGAGAGGAAGGCGGAAUUCCAGGUGUAGCGGUGAAAUGCGUAGAUAUCUGGAGGAACACCCGUGGCGAAGGCGGCCUUCUGGACCGAUACUGACGCUGAGGCACGAAGGCCGGGGGAGCAAACAGGAUUAGAUACCCUGGUAGUCCCGGCAGUAAACGGUGUGCACUUGGUGUGGGGGGAGUUACUCCCCUCCGUGCCGGA
rnacentral:rRNA from 1 species